rnacentral:rRNA from 1 species
AGAGUUUGAUCCUGGCUCAGGACGAACGCUGGCGGCGUGCUUAACACAUGCAAGUCGAACGAAAAGACGGAAAGAGCUUGCUCUUUUCAGAAUUGAGUGGCAAACGGGUGAGUAACACGUAAACAACCUGCCUUCAGGAUGGGGACAACAGACGGAAACGACUGCUAAUACCGAAUAAGUUCCAAGGGCCGCAUGGCCCAUGGAAGAAAAGGUGGCCUCUACCUGUAAGCUAUCGCCUGAAGAGGGGUUUGCGUCUGAUUAGCUGGUUGGAGGGGUAACGGCCCACCAAGGCGACGAUCAGUAGCCGGUCUGAGAGGAUGAACGGCCACACUGGAACUGAGACACGGUCCAGACUCCUACGGGAGGCAGCAGUGGGGAAUCUUCCGCAAUGGGCGAAAGCCUGACGGAGCAACGCCGCGUGAGUGAUGACGGCCUUCGGGUUGUAAAACUCUGUGAUCCGGGACGAAAAGGCAGAGUGCGAAGAACAAACUGCAUUGACGGUACCGGAAAAGCAAGCCACGGCUAACUACGUGCCAGCAGCCGCGGUAAUACGUAGGUGGCAAGCGUUGUCCGGAAUUAUUGGGCGUAAAGCGCGCGCAGGCGGCUUCCCAAGUCCCUCUUAAAAGUGCGGGGCUUAACCCCGUGAUGGGAAGGAAACUGGGAAGCUGGAGUAUCGGAGAGGAAAGUGGAAUUCCUAGUGUAGCGGUGAAAUGCGUAGAGAUUAGGAAGAACACCGGUGGCGAAGGCGACUUUCUGGACGAAAACUGACGCUGAGGCGCGAAAGCGUGGGGAGCAAACAGGAUUAGAUACCCUGGUAGUCCACGCCGUAAACGAUGGAUACUAGGUGUAGGAGGUAUCGACCCCUUCUGUGCCGCAGUUAACACAAUAAGUAUCCCACCUGGGGAGUACGACCGCAAGGUUGAAACUCAAAGGAAUUGACGGGGGCCCG